rnacentral:lncRNA from 1 species
GCUGAUGUUUGCUCUGCUGCCAUAGGAGACAGCCUGGUGAGGUGAAAAAAAAAACUCAGACACCCCAAAUGAAGCCUAGGACAGCUGGAACAGUUCUAACUAUCAGAAAACAGCUCCAUCCCGCUCUGCGUGGUCAGGAUCAUUGUCCCGGCACUUACCAGGAACCAUCUUCAGACCCCUUCCAAAAAAGGACACUUCCAGCAUCGAUGUGA